GAUGAACGCUGGCGGCGUGCCUAAUACAUGCAAGUCGAGCGAACAGACGAGGAGCUUGCUCCUCUGACGUUAGCGGCGGACGGGUGAGUAACACGUGGAUAACCUACCUAUAAGACUGGGAUAACUUCGGGAAACCGGAGCUAAUACCGGAUAAUAUAUUGAACCGCAUGGUUCAAUAGUGAAAGACGGUUUUGCUGUCACUUAUAGAUGGACCCGCGCCGCAUUAGCUAGUUGGUAAGGUACCGGCUUACCAAGGCAACGAUGCGUAGCCGACCUGAGAGGGUGAUCGGCCACACUGGAGCUGAGACACGGUCCAGACUCCUACUGGAGGCAGCAGUAGGGAAUCUCCCGCAAUGGGCGAAAGCCUGACGGAGCAACGCCGCGCGAGUGAUGAAGGUCUUCGGAUCGUAAAGCUCUGUUAUUAGGGAAGAACAAAUGUGUAAGUAACUAUGCACGUCUUGACGGUACCUAAUCAGAAAGCCACGGCUAACUACGUG
rnacentral:rRNA from 1 species